rnacentral:misc_RNA from 1 species
GGUGGCCGGAAUCGCAAACGUGACCAGGUAAAUCGGAGUCGGCAUUUCGCUACGCGGAAAAACAAAUCCUGACAGCAAGAUCGACGGCA